rnacentral:rRNA from 1 species
CCUACGGGUGGCAGCAGUGAGGAAUAUUGGUCAAUGGUCGGGAGCCUGAACCAGCCAAGCCGCGUGAGGGAUGAAGGUACAGAGUAUCGUAAACCUCUUUUGUCAGGGAACAAAGGCGGGGACGUGUCCCCGGAUGAGUGUACCUGAAGAAAAAGCAUCGGCUAACUCCGUGCCAGCAGCCGCGGUAAUACGGAGGAUGCGAGCGUUAUCCGGAUUUAUUGGGUUUAAAGGGUGCGCAGGGGGUCUGUUAAGUCAGCGGUCAAAGGUCGGGGCUCAACCCCAGGCCGGCAGUUGAAACGGGCAGUCUCGAGUUGGAGAGAAGUAUGCGGAAUGCGCGGUGUAGCGGUGAAAUGCAUAGAUAUCGCGAAGAACUCCGAUUGCGAAGGCAGCAUGUCGGCUCCACACUGACGUUGAGGCACGAAAGCGUGGGUAUCGAACAGGAUUAGAUACCCGUGUAGUC